UACGUAGGGUGCGAGCGUUGUCCGGAAUUACUGGGCGUAAAGAGCUCGUAGGUGGUUUGUCGCGUUGUUCGUGAAAACUCACAACUCAAUUGUGGGCGUGCGGGCGAUACGGGCAGACUGGAGUACUGCAGGGGAGACUGGAAUUCCUGGUGUAGCGGUGGAAUGCGCAGAUAUCAGGAGGAACACCGGUGGCGAAGGCGAGUCUCUGGACAGUUACCGACGCUGAGGCACGAAGGUCAGGGGAGCAAACGGG
rnacentral:rRNA from 1 species